GCCCUCGUAGUUCAACGGAUAGAACAGCGGCCUUCUAAGCCGCGGAUAGGGGUUCGAUUCCUCUCGAGGGUACCA
rnacentral:tRNA from 1 species